rnacentral:rRNA from 1 species
AACGUAGGAGACAAACGUUAUCCGGAGUUACUGGGCGUAAAGGGCGUGCAGGUGGUCUGUUAAGUCUGGCGUGAAAGCUCCUGGCUAAACCGGGAGAGGUCGUUGGAUACUGGCGGACUAGAGGACGGUAGAGGCGUGUGGAAUUCCGGGUGUAGUGGUGAAAUGCGUAGAUAUCGGGAGGAACACCAAUGGCGAAGGCAGCUCACUGGGACGGUACUGACGCUGAGACGCGAAAGCGUGGGGAGCGAACAGG